rnacentral:rRNA from 1 species
UACGUAGGGGGCAAGCGUUGUCCGGAAUCAUUGGGCGUAAAGAGCGUGUAGGUGGCUCGGUAAGUCCGCUGUAAAAGUCCAGGGCUCAACCCUGGAAUGCCGGUGGAAACUGUCGAGCUAGAGUCCGGAAGAGGCGAGUGGAAUUCCUGGUGUAGCGGUGAAAUGCGCAGAUAUCAGGAGGAACACCAAUGGCGAAGGCAGCUCGCUGGGACGGUACUGACACUGAGACGCGAAAGCGUGGGGAGCAAACAGG